UACGUAGGUGGCAAGCGUUGUCCGGAAUUAUUGGGCGUAAAGCGCGCGCAGGCGGUCCUUUAAGUCUGAUGUGAAAGCCCACGGCUCAACCGUGGAGGGUCAUUGGAAACUGUGGGACUUGAGUGCAGAAGAGGAGAGUGGAAUUCCACGUGUAGCGGUGAAAUGCGUAGAGAUGUGGAGGAACACCAGUGGCGAAGGCGACUCUCUGGUCUGUAACUGACGCUGAGGCGCGAAAGCGUGGGGAGCAAACAGG
rnacentral:rRNA from 1 species